UACUCGAGUGGCGAACGGGUGAGUAACACGUGGGUGAUCUGCCCUGCACUCUGGGAUAAGCCUGGGAAACUGGGUCUAAUACCGGAUAGGACAUGCUUUAGUGUGUGUGGUGGAAAGUUUUUUCGGUGUAGGAUGAGCCCGCGGCCUAUCAGCUUGUUGGUGGGGUAAUGGCCUACCAAGGCGGCGACGGGUAGCCGGACUGAGAGGUUGGUCGGCCACAUUGGGACUGAGAUACGGCCCAG
rnacentral:rRNA from 1 species